GCUUCGGUGGCCUAGUGCUUAGAGCGUCCGCCUAGGAUGCGGUAGGUCGUGGGUUUGAUCCCCGGCUGAAUCU